rnacentral:rRNA from 1 species
AGCAGCCGCCGGUAAUUCCAGCUCCAAUAGCGUAUAUUAAAGUUGUUGCAGUUAAAAAGCUCGUAGUUGAAUUUCGGGAUCAAUAUGUCGGUCGUGCCUUCGGUACGUACUGGUAUCAUUGGUCUCUCCUUUCUGACGAACCAUGAUGUCAUUAAUUUGGUGUUAUGGGGAGUUAGGACUUGUUUACUUUAGAAAAAAUU